CAAUAGCGUAUAUUAAAGUUGUUGCAGUUAAAAAGCUCGUAGUUGGAUUUGUGGCGUACGGUGGGUUCCGGGCACUUGUUGUCUGAGUAACUUGCUGUUGCCAUCCUUGGGUGGAACCUGUGUGGCAUUAGGUUGUCGUGCAGGGGAUGCCCAUCAUUUACUGUGAAAAAAUUAGAGUGUUCAAAGCAGGCUUAUGCCGUUGAAUAUAUUAGCAUGGAAUAAUGAGAUAGGACUUUUUUGCUAUUUUGUUGGUUUGCGCAAAGAGGUAAUGAUUAAUAGGGACAGUUGGGGGUAUUCGUAUUCCAUUGUCAGAGGUGAAAUUCUUGGAUUUUUGGAAGACGAACUACUGCGAAAGCAUUUACCAAGGAUGUUUNCAUUAA
rnacentral:rRNA from 1 species